CCGAGACUCGAAUCCGGGUCCUCCAGAGUGGAAAGCCGAAGCGUUUCCACGCGGCCAAUCCGGCCGACGAUAUUUAAUGUUUAACCGAUCAGCGAAUAAUGAUAGACGAUAUAAAGUUUAUUUUUAUGGAGAAAAUAAAUAUCAACAUGCCUGAUACGAGACCAAGAUCUUUACAAUUUACUGUAUAGAAAAAUGCAAAAUAAUUAAAAUAUAAAAAUCAUUAUUAGUGAGAGAUGCCGAAAAUUUUUACAAAUUAUAGAGGUAUUAAAUCGUUCUGGCAGAUAUAUAUAGAGAAAUGAUCUGAUGUCUCUUAUAAAUUCAAAAAACAAACGAUAAUCAACUGUAUAAAUUCGCAGCAUAGACAACAUUUCUUCUGAAAAGCACUUACAUUGUGAUGGCGGGUUGUCACAUUUCUUCAGAAAAGCAUUAUCUAACAUCAGCUUGUGAUGGCAGAAUUCAACGAAAUGCUAAACGCGCUAUUGAAUAUGAAUAUCUUACCCGGGAUUCUGUUAGGUUACUAAAUGAAGGAGAGAUGAAAUUCAAAUAUUCUAUGGUGAAUAGCAACUUCGCACUAUCUCUUUCUCUACUUCUCACCAUAAACAAUUAAGAAAGCGAUUCUAAUUGAAGAUGGGUUUUUUUUAAUUUAAUUGUUUAUUAUUCGAUAAAUCGUGUAUACUGAUAAAAAGGAGAGUAUAUAAAAUAUUUAUGAAGGGUUUACGAAAAAAUGAGAUUUUUAAAUUAACUUAAAUAUACUCUUUGGUAAACCAUUAGAGCAUUAGCGCAAAAUACAUCCAAUGGCAUUACGAAUGAAUUUAAAAUUAGUUUUAA
rnacentral:lncRNA from 1 species